rnacentral:rRNA from 1 species
CGCUGGCGGCGUGCCUAACACAUGCAAGUCGAACGGAGUGAUUCACGAAGGUCUUCGGAUUGGACGAGAUCACUUAGUGGCGGACGGGUGAGUAACGCGUGAGCAACCUGCCUUUCAGAGGGGGACAACGGUUGGAAACGACCGCUAAUACCGCAUAAUACAUUCUGGCCGCAUGACCGGGAUGUCAAAGAUUUUAUCGCUGAAAGAUGGGCUCGCGUCUGAUUAGAUAGUUGGUGGGCAACGGCCUACCAAGUCGACGAUCAGUAGCCGGACUGAGAGGUUGAACGGCCACAUUGGGACUGAGAUACGGCCCAGACUCCUACGGGAGGCAGCAGUGGGGAAUAUUGGGCCAAUGGGGGCAACCCUGACCCAGCAACGCCGCGUGAAGGAAGAAGGCUUUCGGGUUGUAAACUUCUUUUACCAGGGACGAAGAACGUGACGGUACCUGGAGAAAAAGCCACGGCUAACUACGUGCCAGCCGCAGC